rnacentral:rRNA from 1 species
ACGAGGGGGGCAAGCGUUGUUCGGAAUUAUUGGGCGUAAAGGGCGCGUAGGCGGUGCGGUAAGUCACCUGUGAAACCUCUAGGCUUAACCUAGAGCCUGCAGGCGAAACUGCCGUGCUUGAGGGUGGGAGAGGUGCGUGGAAUUCCCGGUGUAGCGGUGAAAUGCGUAGAUAUCAGGAGGAACACCUGUGGUGUAGACAGCUUACUGGACCAUUUCUGACGCUGAGACACGAAAGCGUGGGUAGCAAACAGGA